UUCCGGUUGAUCCCGCCGGACCCCACUGCUAUCGGGGUGGGACUAAGCCAUGCAAGUCGAAGGUCCCCGGCUCCGGGGGCCUGGCAGACGGCUCAGUAACACGUGGCCAACCUGCCCUCGGGAGGGGGAUAACCCCGGAAAACUGGGGUUAAACCCCCAUAGGCGGCGAGAUCUGGAAGGACUCCCCGCUGAAAGUGGUGCACGGGGAUGCUCCGUGCACCACCCCGAAGAUGGGGCUGCGGCCCAUCAGGUUGUUGGCGGGGUAACGGCCCGCCAAGCCUAUAACGGGUACGGGCCCUGAGAGGGGGAGCCCGGAGAUGGGCUCUGAAACAAGAGCCCAGGCCCUACGGGGCGCAGCAGGCGCGAAACCUCCUCAAUGCCCGAAAGGGUGAGGGGGUCACCCCGAGUGCCGGCCUCGUGCCGGCUUUUUCCGGGUCUAAAUAGCCCGGCGAAUAAGGGGGGGGCAAGACGGGUGUCAGCCGCCGCGGUAAUACCCGCCCCCCGAGUGGUGGGGACUAUUACUGGGCUUAAAGCGCCCGUAGCCGGCCGGGUGUGUCCUCCGUCAAAUCCACGGGCCUAACCCGUGGGCUGCGGAGGAUACUACCCGGCUUGGGGGUGGAAGAGGGCGGCGGUAUUCCCGGGGUAGGGGUAAAAUCCUCUGAUCCCGGGAGGACCACCAGUGGCGAAGGCGGCCGCCCAGGACACGCCCGACGGUGAGGGGCGAAAGCUGGGGGAGCAAACGGGAUUAGAUACCCCGGUAGUCCCAGCUGUAAACGAUGCGGGCUAGGUGUCGGGUGGGCUACGGGCUCACCCGGUGCCGAAGGGAAACCAUUAAGCCCGCCGCCUGGGGAGUACGGCCGCAAGGCUGAAACCUAAAGGAAUUGGCGGGGGAGCACCACAAGGGGUGGACGUUGCGGCUUAAUUGGAGUCAACGCCGGGA
rnacentral:rRNA from 1 species